AAGGCUCUGAAUAUCCUGCAGACUUCGUUACCUAACAACACAGGGCUAGGAAGACUGCUUUUCCAGAAUUUCAUUUUAGUAUUUAAAGAAAAAGAAAGUUUCUAGCCACAUAACUGGUGAGAAAUGUGGGAUGGACCUGUUUCAUGGGGUAGUUAUAAACAGAACUGUGUAGCAUUGUCUUCCACAGAAGUAGAGUAUGUUGCAGCUACAGAAGCGUGCAGAGAGGUUGCCUUGCUCACCAACCCAAAUAGUUUUAUAUUAACAUGAAUCAUGUGUGUAUUCUUUAAGAGGGAUUCAAAGGGAUUUUUAACCAGGAAGGCAUCUUUAGUAGUAGAAUUCAGACGAGUCAGCAACAAGCUGAUCGCUGCAUAAACUUACACAGGGGAUUGUUUAACUCUGCUAAAGUAAACCUUCCCACAAGAAAACUGUGGAAAAGAUACAGGUAGUAAGUUAAUGAGAUUUAUAGUUUCCCCUGUGUCGAAGGCUUAGGGUAUGAAACUGCAGCUUUUUAAAAUGUUCCCUGAAUUAUAGAUAAGAGCUAUAAAUAUUACAGGUGUGCAUAGGCCUCCAGAUGGGCAUUGCAUGGAUGCACUAUGCUCUUAAUUUCUUCAAUCUGUGAUGGAGAUUCUGAGCUGCUCUGAGUGCAGCCUCUUCCUCCAUGGAAAAGAGAGGUGCCACUGUUGAUUUGCAUAGAGGAAGGGGUGCACGUGCAGAAAAAUUCAUAUGGGAAAAAAUGGGGUGUAGUAAAUGUCAGACAUAUCUAAGAAGGACUCUGCUACUCAUAGUAAACACAACAUCCCCUCACAGAAUCCACAGCAGGCUGAACAAGGAAAAGAGCAAAUUUUACAACACUCCAAUGAUGUCUAAACUUGAGUUUGGGAGAACUUUAAGGAGAAAGAGUCCUGCAAUAUGAAGUAGCCAGCACCAGAGAGACACUUCCUUUGCCAUGCAUAGCAUCCCUGUAUUGGUUCAUGGAAGGGACUGUGAAAAGCAUCCUCUUUGUCUAGACAAGGAAUAAUGGUAGGGAGCAGCCUUUUGUUAAAGUAUGAUGCAUUCAAGGUACCUAAGGUGACAGCAAACAUUUUGAAUAGUGCCUAGAAGACAAAAUAUACUGUCUGAAACAAAAAUAAGAAGCCCCUCUCCAUCGUUGUCAUCUCAUCCUCCUCCCUCUCUGGCACGGUUUUCCUGUCUCUGUUAGGAGCCUUUUGACUAGUAAACAUGAAGGAUCAAGCUGGAUGAAAUUAGCAAAGCCACCAGUGACUUGUAACUCUUUGUUUCUUCUUGGCCAGUUCUUCUUUUAGUUUGCCUGAAUAUUUGAGUUUGCCUGAAUUCAUUCCAGCUGCAGAAUAUGGAGGCAAGGCCUGUUCACAAAGUUAUUAUAUGAGCACAAUGGGGACAGAAAGGCUGAGCAAAUCCACAGGCUGUGAGAAGAGGCAGAGACAAUAUUUUAGAUCUUAGAUUGGUUCUUUCAAGGGAGCCUGUGGUGUGGUGCUCUUGUAACAUUUUCCUUUUAAAAUCCAUAUUUUAUUUCAUUCCUACGCUUGCAAUAAACCAACAAAAAGCUGGACAGACAAUACGACCAGAAGAACUUGGGGAUGCAUUCAUAUAACUGGACAAAGAAGGAAGAAAAGAAAAUUAGGGAGGGGAAGAAGGAAGACGAGGGAGAGGCCAGAGCAAUGUAAGAUGGAUGCAAAUCCAUCAGGGCUUUUUGACCCAUAUGAGGGAUGAUGGGAUUUCAGUAGAUGUACGCAGUUAUAUGAGACUGCCAUAGACAAUGGUUCAGAAACUUCAGCUGAUGCAGAAUACAGAUUCCCAGGUGCGAAUGGGGGCCAGAAUGGCCACAUCUGCGCUAUCUAUUUGAAGCUGCAGCAAACCACUUUAAACCAUCAUGGCUUUCCCCACGGAAUUCUGGAAACUGUAGUUUGUAAAGGGUGCUGAGUAUUGUUAAGAGACCUCUAUUUCCACUCAGAGCUAUAAUUCUCAGAGUGGUUUAACAAUCCCUAGGGAACCCUGGGAAUUGUCAUCCUAUCCCUAACCCCUUCUUCUUCUCUCCUGCAUCUCUUGUGCAGCCUUAAAAUCUGUUGUUAAUUGCUGAGUGGCCUUCUAGAGCAAAUUGAUGGGGGUCACGGGUGGAGAAGAAGAGAGGGAAAUCUUAAUGCAUGAGUGAAACUACUCUCAUGCAGUGUUGAAUGCAACUUUCUAUUUCACUUUCUCAGUGUUGGGGUGCGAGUGUGUGCCUAAUACACUAACAGUGAGUGUUUGCCUAAUGCAAUAACAGCUGGGUCUCAUUUAUCUUUGCAUAUAGUAAUGAAAUCAAUCCACUGGUCGAUGUUGUUCUUGUUAUCCUGAACUAAAUUGCUAUGCAUUUAUUCAUUUACAAGCUGGUUUACACUGAAUUCAGUGGGGCUUACUUCCAAGGAAGUGAGCAUAAGAUUGCAGUCAUGUGGGGCACAUUUACUCACAAGUAACUUCCACUGUGUUUAAUGGGGAUUACCCUAGUAAGAGCGUUUAUGCUUGUGACCUUAGUUCCCCUUUCGUAGCCUCUCUGCCAAAAUGGCAAUAAUCAUGACUCAUUAGUGAGAUGUAUCCUUAAUUGUCACAUUUAGCCUGAUUCUUGUCCAGUUUACUCUUGAGAUGUGAGCCUUAUCAAGAAGAAAACAUAUUUUAUCCAUAAGUCUUUUAUAUGUGACAUCUAGUCGUGGGACCAGUGGAUCGUUGAAGGUUUUAUACCAUUUGGCUGCGAAGUCCUCCAGCCCAGGUGCUUUACCAGCUUUGUCGUUUUUAAUUGUGUUUUCUAUUUCCUCCACUUGCAGAGGCCUCUGAAGCAUCUGUGCUUGCGCCUCUAAUAGCCGUGGGAGCUGAACUUUAUUCAGGAAAGCAUAAAUUGCUUCUUGUGUUGAUUCUCUCUCAGGAGUGUAUAAUUUUGAAUAAAAGGGUCUAAGUACAUUAUUAAGCUCAGUUAUUUUGGUGUGCUAUUUAUUCUCAGUGAUCCUCAGUAGAGAAGUAUAUGUUGAGCAUCAAGCUUACCUCCAUUUGUGAGCUAACAGGUCGGCCAGUCUGCUAUCUUCCAUACAUUUGUUUCAUGCAAAGGAACCUGGCCUUUAUCUGUACAAAUUUUAUUAAUUCCAUAUUCUUGCUAUUGCAUUCUUCAGAAGUUCAAGGGAGGAUGAAGCAGCACUGACUUUUACAGCUUUCAGCUUUCUGCUCCCCCAAUUUGAUUGCAUUUUGAAUUAUACCUUUUCUUUUUGUAAGACUCAUAUGCAAUUACUCUCCCUCUGAUGCAUCUUUUAAAGGGGCCCCAUAGUAUUAUUUUGGAAGAUCUGGAAGCCCUGGAACUUUAAUCUCAAAGAACUGUUUGGUUUUAUUUAGCAGUUUGAUUUUAAGCACCUCAUUAUCUAGGAAAGAAACAUUCAAUUUCCAGGUUGCUUUAGAUGGCGUUUACAUGAUAAACCCAGCAUCAUUUUGAUUCACAAUGAUACAAAUGCCAAAAGUUUUUUAAAAUGGGUUCAUUUCCUUUAUUUCAUUUGUACUCAUUUACCAUUCAGUUUUGGGCAGAGGGGCUUCACUUCUCCAGUGCCAGUGGAAUUGAUUUGGUAACCACCUCCAGCCUGCCACUGUUGCAUUUUCCCACAAUAUCUUGGACAUUACAACAUUCCAGGGCAUUCCAGGAAUGAACAUGGUGGCCGCUGAAAACAGCUCUGCCAUCACAACCACCACAUGCAGAAGUUAAAUAAUAGGAAAGGAAAGGAAACUGGGGAGGGGGGAAGUAACAAAACUGAAUGUAACAAAAACAAGUGUAAUUUCAAUGAAUAAUGAAAGAAAUUGGGGGCCAUGAACUCAGAUGUCCAUAAUAGCUCAUGGGACAAACAGCAACUCAUCACUGUUUUUCAAGAGUGGGCUGGAGAUAAAUGGAUAAGUGAUUUUAAGGAAUGAAUGAAGGAAAAUAAAGGGUUUUUUAUAGCGAAAAUGAAUUUUAUUGUGCACCUCUUGUAAUACUAGCAUGCUGCACACUAGGAAACAGUCUAAGAGGAACCAGUUGUGAUGUAGUGAAAAGAGAAAGGGAAGUUCAUUUUCUGUGAGAUUCAACAUUUACCAUAGAUCCUCUAGAUCAGCCUCUUGGAAAUGUGCCUGGAUGCAUCUUCUAAUCUCAAUUAGCACAAAAUUCCUGUCCAUGGAUGGGUCUAUUAACUUAUUCCAAUUUCCACCAUUUAUAAAACUACCCAGUGUUAACUUGAACACUUUGGAGGAGGAACUCAACAAUGCAUUGGGCUGUGUAAUGAGGAUUUGUAAAAGCCUCAGACAAGGCAUAGAAUCUGGGGCAGAGGUAUUUGUGGAGGACUUAGCAUCUAUUUCCCUACCUAGUAUGAAUGGGGCUGUUUUCUUGCUUUCACUGCUGGUACCUGAAUUCUGAUGCUCCGGGAGAAAGAUGUGUUGUUGUUUCUUCCCUUCUGAAAGCAUUCGUGGAUGGGCAUCAUACAAAAACAGUGUGCACCCAGAAAAAUCUGUCAAGUAUGCCAUGCGAUGGCUUCAGAGGGAUUGUGUUGCUCUGUGAGCAGUCCUACCUGCCUCUUCCCAAAAAAGUUAUAUUGUGGUAACCGAGGGCAUACUGCCUUCAUGCAGGAGCAGGUCCACAGCCCAUAAAGCCACAAGCUCUGGGCGUGUGUGCCUUUGUGCACAGGCAUCUCCAUAAAUUUCGGUGCAUUAAAACCUUCCAUAUGCUGGGGGUUGGGCUGUUUAAUAAAUUAUUUUGUACUUGGCUGCAGGCCGAGCAAGAAGAACUGCUUGAGGAAUCUUCUGUGCUGUGUUCAAAACCGCACCCUGAUUGAGAGGCAAGUGCCAGGGUAGCUGGGAGAAAACACUCCCAAUGAGAACAAGUGUUCGGGGUGUGGAUGUUUUCCAGGCUUGCAUCCGGCUGACCCAUUUUAGGGCUGCUUGCAGCUUUGCGUUCGUAUCGUUGAGGGCAAUGUGCGCGAUUUGAGGAACACAAUGAAAUCAAAUAAAACAGCAGCCCUUGGAGGACUUUAAGCAAGCCCGGCUCUUUUCCUCCUGGCACAAACCGAAAGGAAAUAUCGCAACUUGCAAGGACCUUGUCAGUGUAAAGAAUGCUAGUUUGCGGGCCAUGGGAAGAUAUUAAUUUUCCAGUUCCUGGCAUAUACAAGGCUAAUGCAGAGAGAGAGAAGGAUUAAGAUGACCAAAAAUAAAAUGAUCAUAAUGCCCAACACACACCCUAAAACAGAACCUUGCUAUUUAAGCGUAGCUUGAACCUCAUCUAAGAAGCAUUAUAUGCUGGCUUGCUUGGUGUUUUUUUUUGGGGGGGGGUUUAAAGGAACCUUAAAAACAUAUAUUGUAUAAGAGUUUAUAAGGUGCAGACUGGCAUGGAAAGUAACGGGCUCUAUGUCCUUAGAGGUCUUUAAGAAGUUGUCUCCCUAGCAGGGAUGUUGCACCAGUGGAUUUCCUGAACCAGCAAUGGGUUAGACUCGAUAACAUUUGAGGUCCCUUCUGGCUUCUUGUCUUUAUCAUACUUUUCAUUGGAUUUGGGAUACAUAUUCGAGAUUGGGGGGUGGGGUGUAUUUGAAAAUCCAAACCCUAUUAAGCUGGGCCUGUCUCAAAAUGGGGCUCUUGUCCCAUUGCCCCUGCUAGAUCUCCUUUCGGAAACAGUGGGGUUGUCAGUGACAGAGGAUUCCCAUGAACUCAGGAAACAGCGCACAGGGCCUGCAGGGGCUCUCCUCAGUGGCAAACAACAUGUAAAAUACUAGGUCCCAUUUAUAAAGUGGUGGUUUUAAUGGGUUAGGACCAGGUUACCUGGAAGACCACCUUCUCCCAUAUAUACUUACCAAAUAUUAAGAUCUUCUUCAGAGGCCCUGCUCCAACUGCCCCUGCUGAACAAAGUGAUGCAGCCAACCACCAGGGCCUUUUUGGUGAUGGCACCUCAGUUAUGGAAAAGUCUUCCCAGGAAGGUACACCUGGCACCAUCCUUUCUGUUCACCCGGGCCUUUUAAAUAACUGCAGUGAUUUUUUGUUUUGUUGUCCUUUUGCUGAUUUAUAUUUUAUGGCCUCAUGCACUUUUUUCAUGCUUAUUGUCAUCCACCCAGAUAACUACGUGUUAUGGAGGCACAGAUGUAUCAUAAACAAAUGUGGGGCUUGCUCUAUCUUUCCUGGCAGAAAAUGAUGCUCCAUGCAUCAUGUGCCAAUGAGGGUGAGGUCCCACAGGGCUCUCCACUGUUCAGAAAUGUAACAUGGAGCCUCAUUUCUUCCUAGGAAUGAGGAGACUUGUAGUCAACCCCGAUGAACCCUGGAAGAAAUAGACACCAUCGUUGACAUUUGCAGCCAAUGAGAAGAUCCACAUGGCCUCUCUGAUGUUGGUUAGAGGACUGAACAGUUUCCACCCAUUCCCUUUCUUUUGAGAUAAUGCUUUCCUUUCUUUUUAGCUUGGGGAAGGGGUCAGUGUCAUAAGAAAGGAGAUGUAAGGACUACAGUGGGCAUUUUCAUUCUUCCCAUUGAAGCUUUUCAAGCGAUGAACUGGAAGUUCACUGAAAAUCAGUUUCAGUGCAACCAGUAGGAAUGAGCUGAAUUCCAACUUUUCACAGGAACAAGACAGAGACUUUAAAAGACUCAAAUUGUGUUUAUACACAUGAUUUAUCAAGAGGAAAAGAGAAAGUUUAUUGACUGUAGUCAAGAGAGCACAAUCUCCCCAGCAUCACUGUGAUUGUCUUAACAUCUUCAAAAACUAAAAGAAAGACAAAAACAACCAGCCUCAUUUAGAUAAUAUCCAUAAACUACUGGCACAAGAAGGGUUCCUAAUCUCAAAGCCUUCAACUACAACAUAAUGGUUGAAAACCGGAGAUAAACUAGAAUUUAGCGCUCAGAGAUACAUAUGAACACAAAAGGUGAAGCCUCUGUUCAGUUUAUGUUUUUUAGAGCAGAAACAAUAAAAGAAUAAAAAGGGUUUAUACUUUGCUGCAUCAGCAUUCACAGCAACAUUCCAAACCCUUCCGGAACCCUCCAGCAAAUUCUUGGAUCCACAUUCUCCCAGAUUGUGGGAGUUACAUUACUAAAUUAACAUCCAUUUUUCUUCUAGCACAACCUCCAGCUCCUUCUCAGCAGUGUUACCAGCUUGCCAAUUAUCUCUUUGUUUUUCAAUUGUGCCUUUGACCUUUUUUCUUUUUUGCUCUGCAUAACAUUCCACAUUAACCUUGGGCAAAUGGCAUGUUUUGCUUUCUUGACAAAUUAAUGUCUAAAUAAUUUGGAAUUCUAAAGUUCUACUUCUUCUUAUCUCUCUCUUCAAAUCAGAAAGCCUUUCCUCUUUAGAAAUAUUCAAAAUGAAAAACAGAAAUCAAGAAAGUAGAUCUAGAACCUGGAAUCUAGUGAUCUGUUGCCUGUUGCUCCAUGUGGUGAGGUACCACAGGUAUCUGCCUGGCCAGUGGAAGGUCCCUAAGCUCUAAGGAAAAUGUUUCCUUAUUAACAUCUUAUUCGUUUGGUUAUCUAUUCAUUAAAAUCACAUUCUGUUUCCUUAUUCAAUUUUGUUUCCCACUGCUUUCCAAGGGAAACCCAAGUGCUCUUCUGUUGCUUUUAACAUCUGUGUUUUCCAUCUAACCAGCACCAUAGAUUGAGGUCAAAGAAUUAGACCUCCCAAAUUUCUGACAGAUGGGGGAAAGUCCCCAUUUUAUAGGCCAGAUAUUAAUAGGUGCCCAACUGCUGAAGAAGAUAAAGAACUCAUUCACCUCACUUUUAAAGGGAACCCAGGUGCCACUCCCCCACAACUUCUGAGAAGUCCUAUACUCCCAAUAAUGAGCCCAUGGUAGCAUUGUGUUUGCUGAUGUUUCUACAGAUGUUUUUCAAAGGUGGACCAUCACAGAGCAAAAAAGUGGCUGGGACAGUGGGUUGAUGCCACCAAGCCACUCUACAAACACCGGCAUCACUGCUGCAUAGUGGAAUGGUGCAGGCCACAAAGGGCCUUGAAGUUGCCCAUCUGGAAAGCAGAUUAAAUGGGCACAUAAGUCACCUGAUCGCAGUCCUUCCAACUAUGGUGAGAUUUACUAUGUUUUAAUUAAAAUUAUCCAUAAAUCACUAAAAUUAGAGUGAUUCUCUCAAAACGUGCAUCUAUCUAUAUCAAUUAGCACGUGUACAUGUUACGCCUAUCUAGGAAGUAAGUUGGGUCCAGGAGCACUUCCAAGCUGCAGACCUGGCUUUGAGGGAAGUACACGGCUAAUCAAGAGAAGGUUGCUGAAAUCCAGAUGGGUAGCUUCGCUAAGCAAGAGUACUGUUGCCUUUUCUGGACAUCAAUUUGUGCAUCCUCAUCCAGCCCCUCACUGAUUCUAGGCAACGAUUCAGAACACCCAUGGCCUUCCUGGAUUGAGAUGAAAAGGAUAGUGUUGGGUGUCAUCAGCAUGCUAAUAGCAGGGAAGUGAAGUCCAAAUCCCCAAAGAAAGUACACUUCACUAAGCAGAAAGCAUUUUGAGGAAACAGUAUGGAAUGGAUUGAAAAUUCUUAUAAGAAUGGUAAGAAUGACUGACUGGGUACUGUUUGUGCACAGACAUGGGGAAUGAAUAAACCAGGAAUCUGCAAACAUUCUAAAUCCAAGAAGGAACUCAAACAAGCCUUUAAUUUCCCUUUUUAUAUUCCUUCCUAACUUCUUCCCCACUGAACAUAAGAAAAGCCCUGUCGCAUCAGUCCAAAGGCCCUUCUAGUCCAGCAUCUUGUUCUCACAGUGGCCAUCCAGAUACUUAUGGGGAGCCUGCAACCAGAACCUGAAUGCAACAGCUUUUCUCCCCAACUGUGAUUUGCAGCAACUGGUAUUCAGAGGCACACUGCCUCUGACAACAGAGGUAUGCUGCUAGCAUCCAAUAGCCAUUGAUAGUCUUAUCCUCCGUGAAUUUGUCUAACCCUCUUUUAAAGCCAUCCAAGUGGGUGGCCAUCGCUAUGUCUUGUGGGAGCCAAUUUCAUAGUUCAACUGUGCACUGUGUACUUUCUUUUCUUUGCCCCGAGUCUUCCAACAUUCAGCUUCGUGGGAUGGCCCCAAGUUCAAGGGUUCACUUUGGAAAAAAGGCCUAUUAGGAUAUUUUACACAUUGGCUUCAAUGUUUGGACAGUUUACGGUGUCAGUCUCCCUCUCUUUCCUCCCUCUCUCCCCUUCCCGGCAUCCUUUAUUUGACCUACAGUAUUCUGGCUACUAGAGGGGAACAGAAGCAGAGUUCUGGGUGAAGAACAAAUGAAUAUCUGGCAUUUGGAACUCAUUCAUAAUUCUGGCAUUCAGCCCUUUCACAGUAAUGAAUGUAGCAAAUGAGCCCCAUUCAUUUCGUUUGCUAACAAAAUGAAUGUAUAUCCCUAUUGUGCGGUGACUCUGCCACUGGUUAAUCUAAGCUGGAGCAACAAUCAAGGCUUCCAAGUUUUCCCGGGACAUUGCCUCAGCAGUAAAAGUAGGCACUGCCUUGAAUUCCUGCUUUGUGAUUCCUCACUUUGGAUUCCUAGUAUAUUAAUGCUGAUUGUAUUCUGGAUAUGUACAAACUACCAACUAUUCUAAGAUGGCUGUGAGACCAUAUCUUUGAAAUAUUCAUGUAAUUUGUGUGCAGAUGAAAUCUCAUUCUGUCACGAUAACAUGGGUGAGGAAGAACCUAUGUGCCAGUCCAAGCUCCUUGGAGGAAGGGUGGGAUGAAAAAUGUAACAAAUAAGUUUGUGUUCUGUCAUAGUUGUGUUAACCUACGAAGCCUGCCCACCCUGUUUAAUGCUGUUCAGCUGUCCUAUCAUUUGCCUGCAUUCCCGAAUCACUGAGGAUAGUUUCACAUUUAUUGCCUUCUGGCUGACCCAGAACAAUGCUGGGUCAAGGAAGAACCACCAUGGAGGACAAUGCACCAGCAUGCUAUGGAAAUUCUUCCCAAGUGACUCCCCGUCAUUCAAUACUGUGGUGCUGCCACCCGAGUCAGGCUGACCCAAGUUGGAUUGACUGUACUAAGCAUUACAUUCAUUUAUCAACAGGUCAGCUGACUUUACUGAUUGAUUUAUUACCAUGAACUCAGCCUUUUGCCCUCAAAAAAAGAGAGAAAAGCACUCAAGAUGGCUUAAAGCUCACAAUAGAAAACACACAUUAAAUAAACCCCAGGUCCCAUGAAAUACUAAAUAAAACGAUAGAAAACCAACAUGAUAGGAAAAGAAUUCUAUGCUUAGGAAUGAUCUCUACAGGCAGAGGCUUGCUUAGGAUGUUCUAUCACCUCAUAUGAAUAGAAAGUACAUGUUUCAUGCUCCUCUGCAACUUCGUAUCAGAAAUAAAACACCUAUACCAUGCCUCUCCCCCCCGCCCAGUCUCUGGACUUCCACUUCAAAAUUAAGCUCAGUGUCUUUUGUUUGUUUGACCAGUCCAUGUAAUCCAAUCACUUCACACUUCCCCAAGUGCUGAUGGGUGAACAAACAACGCUUCUAGUGGCCAGGCAAACCCCUCCUCCCAACUUUUCACAGGUCUACUUGCCCUCUUCCUCUAUGUAACAGGAAGCUUUUAAUGUUUGACAUUUUAUUAAGUUUUUAUAGGUGCUGGAAGAUGCCCAGAGCUUAGGAAAAGGGGUAAGAGGGAAACAGGGUAGAGGCGAUAGAAUAUGCAUGAUGUGGAGAAAGUGGAUAGGAAGCCCCACCCCAUUCCUCUUAUAAUACUAGAACCAAUAAAUCUGAACAGUGGGAGAUAAGGGACUGACAAAGGGAAGUGCUUCUUCACAUAUUGCAGUGGUCUCCAAACCUUUUCUUCCAUGGACUACUUGAAAACUGUUGAGGGUUUUGGUGGAUUGCUUCAUAGUUUUUUCUGCUUGCUUUGGAAAUUGAAAUGCACAGUGCUAGAUGCUGUGUGAUUUUGAAUUGCAAGCGUGAUGUGGACCACCUCAAUGAAGCUCAUCAGCAACUGGUGGCCUACGGACCACUUAGGGAACCCCUGACAUAGUGAAACGAUGGACUUUACUAUUACAAGGUAUUGUUCGGGCCAUCAGUUUGGGCAGUUUCAAAAGGGGAUUAAACAAACUCAUGGUGGAUAAGGCUGUCAAUGGCUAUGAGUCAUGAUGUAUGCACACCCUCCAUGGCAGUAUGGCUCUAAAUACCACUUGCUGGGGACUACAAGUGGGAAAGGGCUACCAUGCUCACGUAUUGUGAACCAAGGUCUUUGGUUUGCUCCAGUAGGGCUCUUCUUAUGAGUAGUUCACCAGGCAGCACUUCACAGAGGCCCUGAUUUCUGGCCUACAAAUCUCACCAACAGAAGACUUGCUUGGGAUGUUGAUGUGCUGCAGUACUUCAGGCCUGGGCCUAAAUCCAGGUUUAAUCUAUCUCAGUGCAAAAAUUGUUCCUUUUUGUUGAGACUGAGCAUUCAAAGACAUUAUAGCUUUGAGAAAUCUGUUUGGUCUAGAAUUUAGUCUAGCCCUUUCAGACUGAACUCCCAACCUUUAUCAGCCCAUGUUGUUUUCUGAAGUCACUUAGCAUGUGCCUGGCUGACUGCCGCCACUCCAGACAUUUCACCAUAUAAAUGCUGAUAGAACUAUCUUUGGGUAUGUCUCAUUUAUCAGUGAGAUGUCUCAGUCAUUUCCACUCCCCAGCCUUUUGGAGGGAUAAAGGAAUCCCUUUUGAGAAUUCUUUGUCUUGAAGGGUAAACUGUGAAGGCCAUAAACUGUAUUCUUUUCUUCUUUUUUUAGCACCUCACUGAGGUUAGAGAUGGAAAACAGUGUUGAAUGUUACAUUGUCAUGGAGGGAACAGGAAAUGCGGUUGUUUUGCACUUGCUACUCUUUUUCCAUCUCACUCGCUUGUGUGAUAUGCAAGUGCCUGUCUCAUAGGUGUGAGGAGAAUGCAGAAAGUUCCAUGGUGGGCGAGACAACACUAUGGAGAAACAGGAAGCGCAAGCCAUUGGAGCUUCCUGUCCCUUCCUCAAUUAAUUCUCUGAAACUGCUGAUGUCAUGCCGGCUGGCCACCAACAUCUUCAUGUCAAAAAACUGUGUGAAGCUCCUCUCCAUGGGGUGUGAACUUCAUUUGCUCCACAACAGAAACAUCUGGCUGAGGUCAGGAAGUACAUGCUGGCUGGCCUUGGUGCCGGGGGAUCCUGAAGUUAAUGCAUUCUUACCUCAUCAGUAGGUGUCACUGUAGCAGAGGACAAAGUCUAAUGGAAGGAAUAGAGAGAGGGGGGAAUAGAGAGAGGGAAUCCCAGCCAGCCAACCAGAAGCAGGAGCUGGCGUAAUUCUGCCCAAUUCUAGCCAGGAGAGCAGUGAUGGAGCUGGGUUUAUGAGUUGCUUGUAAGGAGGCUAUAGGAAAUGGGAGAUUAAGGAAAUGAGUCAUUAUGUGAUUACAAAGACAUGUGGAGUGCACACAUUUGUGGCCUAUAAUGCUGCUUUGAACAACCAUAAAUUUCUUCUACAGGGGCUUUGGGAAACGUUCCUGCUGAACUCCAAUGUGGUAGCGAGUUAUAGUUCAACAAAUAGAGCUGGAAUGAAUGUUUUCAGCAUGAAAUCUUUGAAAUGCUUCUAAGCCCAGUUCAGCAUUCCUCCUCUAAAUCAGCAUGAGUUGCAGAAACCAGAAAGGUCACUUCUAGUGGUGGAAGGCCAUUUGCCGCCUUUCUCCAUCAACUUUGAACAAGACUGUGAUCCUCAGGGGACUUUUGUUUGCUAUGUUAAUGAGCUGUGAUAAAGCAAGUGGCUCGUAGGAAUGCUGUUCCAGCAUCAAGAGCAUACGUUUUCUAGUUUUAGUAAGCUCUAGCCUGCCUCUUAGAGAAAGACAUGCACUCAAAGAAAGGGAAAUCUGCAUCCUUAUUUAAAUCUGAAAGCCACAGCCCUGGCUGAUUUUUCAUCUGGGUUAUUCUUCAGGUAACAUUCUGGAAUCAUAGAAGUCCUGAGGCAUAUGGUUCCCUGACAGGAGGAUAAACCAAUGUUGGAGUGAUGGGCUGCACAUUACCAGCAUUCUAUUGCAGGCUCAUGCCAGAAACUGCUUCCUGGACAAAAUGUUUCUCUUUCCUAAAGCGUUUCCACCACAUUUCACUUCCAAGUGACUCGUGACUAGGGAUGGACAAAACCGUCAGUUUCAGUUUGUGUCCAUUUCUCAUUUCUUUUCCAGCCUUAAAAUUCAUUUCUCCACAUUUCCACGUCAGUUUGUGAUUUAUUUAUUUAAAAAGAGGGCCUCAUGGAAAUCUCUCAGAAUUUGAGUGCACAUUUCUCCUAAUAUGCAUGUUUUGUAUACCAUUUUGCACUAAUAUAUCAUUUUGCAAGCAAUUUCCCCUAAUGUUUUCGUUUCCAUCCAUCUGUCUUGAGAAACAAUGAGUGCACUUCCUGGGAUGCUGAGUUAGCAGCCCCCAAGUGACCUUCCCAGGGCGCAAGCCUAGACAGUGUGCAUGGAGGUCCUGGGCUGCCCAGGCGGCAAGACCCUCCCCCUCGGCUUCACUGAUGUGGUCCAAAGGAAAGCAGAGCAAUAUGUUUGGCACCGGAUUGGCUGCAGGAAUUGCCAGAAGGAGGCAUACAAGGUGCCUUAGGGACUCCACUCUGGAUUUGUGUUGGGUUUGCUCCUUAGCCUUUUCUUCUCCAGAAGAUAUCUCACAAGGCAGUGGAGGUUUAGGAUCAGAGUUUUCCUUCUCCUACAUGGGCUAUCUUUCCAGGAUGACGAGCCUCAUCUGCCCCAUCUACAGCACAUGCAGAGACCACCUUCUUGACCAUUGGAUCGGCUAUUCAUCUUGUCUGCUCAAUCUACCAGAGCCUGUCUUUGCAUGCAGGGGAAGUCCCUUACAGAAGAAAGAAGGGUUGGCUGUAUUAGCCAGUUUGUAGUAAGACAGGUGCUUCACUGAAAGCCUUUGAUAGUUUGAGUGAUUGCACAGGGCAUCCAGGGAGCCUAGGACUUAUAGCAAUAAAUUGGCAUUUGUUUAACCAAACCAGAUAGUCUGUUAGUUAAUCAGAAAUGCCUGGAUUUCACCCACUUAUCCAUACUGAAAUAUAACAGGCCGGAAUCAGUUUAAGUCCUAGUUCAUCAGUUUCACUAUGUUGUGGACUGAGUUAAGUGUGUAAGAAACCAUCUACUGAAAAGCUAACACCAGAGCUAAUUGCACCAUGGAGAUUUCUUGGCAUGGUGCCCCAAAUUCAGAACCAUAUUCUGUAUCUUAAAUUCAGAUCCAGGUACUCAUUACUAACAGGCAUUGUAUAAGAAUGAUACAUUUAACUUAGGGUUAGAAGGCAAGGCCUUUAUUGUCCCUCUGGAAUCCCUCCCUACGUCUUGGAUUUUUCCAUUGUGGUGUUCACUUAAUUGCUUCCAGUGUUGUUUGGAAAUAGCUGGAGUUUCCAAGUCUGUAUUGACUUGGAGAGGCUAUGUUGUAACUGUAUCGAGAGAUUUCUAAUGCUUAGGUGUAUGAAGUCAUGUUGUCCUGAGAAUGAUAACACAAUGAAGAGAUAAAUCAGCCUGAUAACACAAUAAAGAGGUAAAUCACUCCCUUGCGCUUAGGAGAAUAUUCUUCAGAGCCCACUAAGAAAAAACACAUGCAAUGCUGAAGCAUGAAUUUCCCAAGGAGGUUAAAGAAUGUUUAAAAAAAAAAAAGGAAGUUAAAACCCAAUGGGAUCAACCAAAUAUAUUUUAAAAACUGCUCAACGGAGAGCAGAAGGCUUUAAAAAACCAGUGGACGGAUGUUGACCAUAUGACUUACUCAAAAUCAGGCAAGGUAAUCUGGAGUUCCACAUCAUCUGGAAAUGGUUUUGCCGUCCAUGUAGUGAGAACAGGUUUGUGCAGAAUCUGAUUCCUCUGUUCUACAUAAGCAAGCAACUUAGCUGAUAUUUUAAAGAUCAAAGACUUUUUAGGAUUCAAUACAUGCCUCUCCGUGGCUGCAGCACACAUCAAAUCACAUCACUAGCUCUAUGUGUGAAUCCAAGUUACAUCUAUCAGUCUUCUGUCUCUGCAACCCAAGUCCAGAUAUUUGCCAAAGAAUCUAUCAAGCUGGAACUGGGGGUGGGGGACAAGUUUCCUAGCUUAGCUAAAGUGCUGCGUUGGUGAACUGGUGACAGAUUCACAAGAUUAUUUUUAGGUGGAAAAAUUUAGGUUGGAAAAAUGUGGUAACACACCCGUAUGAAUGUUGAAGCACUCAUAUGAUUGUUGUUAAGAAUGAAGAUAUGUGCUUUGUUCCUUUCUUUUAUUGGAUUCAUUCUUCUCUGCAAGCCUCUGCUCCUGAAGGCUGGCAAAACUAGAGAAAUUUCAAAAAUAAUUUUGGAAGUGGAGCAUACAAAGCUUGCUCCAGCUUUCAUUUCCUUCCAUUCAUUUUCAUCUCCACAAUUAGACUUUUUUUAUUGAUAGAUGGUUUGUGUUUUCUUUCCUAAACACUCACAAAUUCUUCAGCACAGCAAUUCUCAAGUCAAAACAGAUCUUUUUGAAAGGGUUUUAUUACCACAUGAAUUUUUGUAAUAAUUCUAGGAUGAUCUGGCUUCAUUAAUGGCAAUGUUCAUAUUUGGUUAUGUAUAUUGCAUUUUCUGAUCUUUGGAUUUAUGCUUUCUUGUGAACUGUUUCUAUUAUUUAUUUGGGAAGGAAACCCAAUAAAUAUUGUUUAGUUGUUGCUGUUUUUCAAAACCUACCUAAGUGUCAAAAAACACAAUAUUUAAAAAUCACAUCCAUUUUGCUUUUUUUGGUGUAUGGUUUUUUUAAAAAAAUUAAUGUUCAGGUGCACAUUGGCAAAAUAUUGCACAAAAAGAAUCUUGGUGCAAUUAAGCAUACAGUCACAACAAAUUGCUAAUUUGCAGUGCUUUUAGCACUGCAAAUGCUUAACCACACUCAUGGUGGCUGGGAAGGGUAAAUUGGUAUCAGACCAGGAGCUGAAGAAGCCACAGGAUCAGCUCUCUUCACAAUCCAGUGAAAAGCAGAAAUUAAAUGACAUUCAUUCAAACCACACCUCAUCCAGUUAAGCUGUCAUGUUUCAUUUUAGUUCAAUUUAAUUGAAAUUAUACGCCACUUCUCCAUGGCUGAAGAAUGCAGCAAAGCAGCUCGUCAUAAAUGUCAACAGACAUCAUGAGCAAUUCAUAGCAAAAUGCAUCAAACAGAUUCAAAAGUGCCAGAGUAAACAAGUCAGAUGCAAUAUUGCAAUGCAGUGAGACUAUCAAAUACAGAAGCAAGAUCAAAAUCAACAGCAACUGAACUCCCAUGGUUAUUGGUGGCCUUGGGCAGGGACAUCUUGGGCAGGGAUCUGCUGGUGGUCACCAGGCUCCAUGGUUUGCAGUUGGCUCUCUCAUCUCUCCUCUGAAGUGGCAUGGGCAGCAGCAAAGGAGAAGUGCCAGAGAGGAAGCAAUGAUGGCAGAUAGGGCUGGGGGAGAUAGUUGAUUUUGUUGUUGUUUAGUCAUUUAGUCAUGUCCGACUCUUCGUGACCCCAUGGACCAGAGCAUGCCAGGCACUCCUGUCUUCCACUGCCUCCUGCAGUUUGGUCAAACUCAUGAUGGUAGCUUCGAGAACACUGUCCAACCAUCUCAUUCUCUGUCAUCCCCUUCUCCUUGUGCCCUCAAUCUUUCCCAACAUCAGGGUCUUUUCCAGGGAGUCUUCUCUUCUCAUGAGGUGACCAAAGUAUUGAAGCCUCGGUGGAUUUAUCAAAUUUGCACUUCUGGAACAAUAUGGGAACCAAAACAACACAAUAUGAGAAAUUCACACUUAUUCUCAUUUUGCAAUGCAGUUCUUUAACCAAAACAUGUUUACAAAAAUGCAUAUAUUAGAGGGAAGGGAAGUGUGCAUAAAAAUGAAUAUACAGUACUAGUGAAAAUAAAAUACAAAAAAAGGCAUUACAUUAUGAGAAAUUGCCUGCCAUAAUUUAUACCUUAGUCAAAACUGCAUAUAGGAAUAUACAAAAAACAAAAACAAUGAUGAAUUUUCAGGGUUUUUGUGUUGUUUUUUUAAUUACUAAUUCCUGAAAUGUGGAGAAUUGAAAUUAAGAUUGGAAGAAAGAGGAACAGAGAGGAGCAAUCCUUCAGUCACUACUUCCAGGUGUUUUGGCUGCUACCCCAACUGUUUAUUUGCUUCUCAAAUUUCUGCUCCACCCUUCUUCCUCAAGGAGCCCAGGGCAACAGGCAACGAAGCAAUAAAACGGCACAAUUAAAAAUAAAAUAUGUAAAAAUAUUUUAAAAGAUUAAGAACAUUUAAAACAAUCACAUAUCCUCACAGCUCAUAAUGACAAGGUUGCCAGAGGGGAUAUCUUUCAGUCCUCAUGUGAGCAGGAAUGUUUUAAAAUUCCUCCUGAAUAUUAAGAAGGAGAGAGACAGAUGCACCUUGCCAUGGACAGCAUUCCACAAAGGGGGAAUCAGCACUGCCAAACCACUGCCCAUUGUGAGGCCUGAGAUGGUUGAUAUUAAGGGAGGCAGACUUUUAUGCGCUUGAGUCUCCAAUCACCUUGAAUUGGGUGAAUUGAGCCAGUGUGGUGUACUGGUUAAGAGCAGUAGACUCGUAAUCUGGUGAACCGGGUUCGCUUCCCCACUCCUCCACAUGCAGCUGCUGGGUGACCUUGGGCUAGUCACACUUCUCUGAAGUCUCUCAGCCUCACUCACCUCACAGAGUGUUUGUUGUGGGGGAGGAAGGGAAAGGAGAAUGUUAGCCGCUUUGAGACUCCUUCGGGUAGCAAUAAAGCGGGAUAUCAAAUCCAAACUUUUCUUCUUCUUCUUCCAGCAGCUCACAGGCAGCCACUGCAGAACUUUGGGGACUGGUGACACAUACUUCCAUCAGGCUGCCCUGCUCACCAGCCGAGUAGCUCCAUUCUGCACUAGCUGCAGCCUCUGGACCAUUUUCAAGGGCAGCUCCAUAGGACAGUAAAUAGUAAGCAGGAAUUAGUGCUUUCAUAGGGUGCUCUUUUCACAGCAGGUAAGAACUGGGG